CACACUUUAAACAAAACCAUAAAUUCCUUUCUUUUCCAAAAUUGCAAAAUUUCAGGCAGUUAAUGCCACUUCAAAUCACUAGGUAUUACAAUAUGAUACCAAAUUCAUGAAAGAAAAAAAAGAAGCACUCAGCGUGAACCUCAAGCGACAGCAACUGGCUGUUGUUUCGAGGGCUCGACGGGUUUCUUGGAAUCUCCGAGGAAAUCUUCGAGAUUAUAAAUAACGGUGAUAUAAAGGGAACAACUAGGGCAUCGAGCGAUC
rnacentral:misc_RNA from 1 species